rnacentral:rRNA from 1 species
UACGUAGGGUGCAAGCGUUGUCCGGAAUCAUUGGGCGUAAAGAGCUCGUAGGCGGUCUGUCGCGUCUGCUGUGAAAACCUGGGGCUUAACCCUGGGCUUGCAGUGGGUACGGGCAGACUAGAGUGCGGUAGGGGAGACUGGAAUUCCUGGUGUAGCGGUGAAAUGCGCAGAUAUCAGGAGGAACACCAACAGCGAAGGCAGCACUCUGGGCCGGUACUGACGCUGAGGAGCGAAAGCAUGGGGAGCGAACAGG